UACGAAGGGGGCUAGCGUUGUUCGGAAUUACUGGGCGUAAAGCGCGCGCAGGUGGUCUUUCAAGUCAGUGGUGAAAGCCCGGAGCUCAACUCCGGAAAUGCCAUUGAAACUGUGAGACUUGAGGACGAGAGAGGUGAGUGGAAUUCCCAGUGUAGAGGUGAAAUUCGUAGAUAUCGGGAGGAAUACCGGUGGCGAAAGCGACUCUCUGGACGGCAACUGACGCUGAGGCACGAAAGCGUGGGGAGCAAACAGG
rnacentral:rRNA from 1 species